rnacentral:rRNA from 1 species
UAAGCGGAGGAAAAGAAACUAACCAGGAUUCCCCUAGUAACGGCGAGUGAAGCGGGAAUAGCUCAAAUUUUAAAUCUGGCCGGCGUGGUCGGUCCGAGUUGUAAUUUGAAGAAGCGAUUAUCACGUUUUCGUUCGGGUUCAAGUUCCUUGGAAUAGGACAUCAGAGAGGGUGAGAAUCCCGUCUGUGAUCCGAUCGGCUUCGGUACGAUAACGUUUCUAAGAGUCGAGUUGUUUGGGAUUGCAGCUCAAAAUGGGUGGUAAAUUCCAUCUAAGGCUAAAUAUUGGCGAGAGACCGAUAGCGAACAAGUACCGUGAGGGAAAGAUGAAAAGAACUUUGAAAAGAGAGUUAAACAGUACGUGAAAUUGUUGAUAGGGAAACGAUUGAAGUCAGUCAUGCCAGUGAGAAAUCAGCUUACAGGCUACUGUGAGUGCACUUUUUCGCAAGGCAGGUUAACAUCGGUUUUCGUUGCGUCAUAAUGAUUGUAGGAAGGUGGCUCCUUCGGGAGUGUUAUAGCCUACUUUAGAUGGCGCGACGAGGACCGAGGAUUGCAGCGAAUGCCUUUGGCUACGGAUCUUUCUCUGUUGAUCUUUAGUUGAUCGUCAGCUUGCUGUACGAGCUGGUGUUAGGUUUGCAAUAGGAGGAAUCCGAUAAAUUCGCUAAGGAUGUUGACGUAAUGGCUUUAAACGACCCGUCUUGAAACACGGACCUAAGGAGUCUAGCAUUAAUAUGCCGAGUGUUA